ACGCUGGCGGCGUGCCUAAUACAUGCAAGUAGAACGCUGAAGAGAGGAGCUUGCUCUUCUUGGAUGAGUUGCGAACGGGUGAGUAACGCGUAGGUAACCUGCCUUGUAGCGGGGGAUAACUAUUGGAAACGAUAGCUAAUACCGCAUAACAAUGGAUGACCCAUGUCAUUUAUUUGAAAGGGGCAAAUGCUCCACUACAAGAUGGACCUGCGUUGUAUUAGCUAGUAGGUGAGGUAACGGCUCACCUAGGCGACGAUACAUAGCCGACCUGAGAGGGUGAUCGGCCACACUGGGACUGAGACACGGCCCAGACUCCUACGGGAGGCAGCAGUAGGGAAUCUUCGGCAAUGGGGGCAACCCUGACCGAGCAACGCCGCGUGAGUGAAGAAGGUUUUCGGAUCGUAAAGCUCUGUUGUAAGUCAAGAACGAGUGUGAGAGUGGAAAGUUCACACCGUGACGGUAGCUUACCAGAAAGGGACGGCUAACUACGUGCCAGCAGCCGCGGUAAUACGUAGGUCCCGAGCGUUGUCCGGAUUUAUUGGGCGUAAAGCGAGCGCAGGCGGUUUGAUAAGUCUGAAGUUAAAGGCUGUGGCUCAACCAUAGUUCGCUUUGGAAACUGUCAAACUUGAGUGCAGAAGGGGAGAGUGGAAUUCCAUGUGUAGCGGUGAAAUGCGUAGAUAUAUGGAGGAACACCGGUGGCGAAAGCGGCUCUCUGGUCUGUAACUGACGCUGAGGCUCGAAAGCGUGGGGAGCGAACAGGAUUAGAUACCCUGGUAGUCCACGCCGUAAACGCUGAGUGCUAGGUGUUGGAUCCUUUCCGGGAUUCAGUGCCGCAGCUAACGCAUUAAGCACUCCGCCUGGGGAGUACGACCGCAAGGUUGAAACUCAAAGGAAUUGACGGGGGCCCGCACAA
rnacentral:rRNA from 1 species